UAAGGAAUCUUGCGCAAUGGGCGAAAGCCUGACGCAGCGACACCGCGUGAGGGAUGAAGGCCUUCGGGUUGUAAACCUCUGUCAGGGGGAACGAAACUCCGGUUGGUUAAUAGCCGAUCGGACUGACGGUACCUCCAAAGGAAGCGCCGGCUAACUCCGUGCCAGCAGCCGCGGUAAGACGGAGGGCGCGAACGUUGUUCGGAAUCACUGGGCGUAAAGGGCGCGUAGGCGGAUCGGUAAGUCAGAGGUGAAAUCCCGGGGCUCAACUCCGGGCCUGCCUUUGAAACUGCCGUUCUAGAGUGCAGGAGAGGAAGGCGGAAUUCCAGGUGUAGCGGUGGAAUGCGUAGAUAUCUGGAAGAACACCAGUGGCGAAGGCGGCCUUCUGGACUGUUACUGACGCUGAGGCGCGAAAGCUAGGGGAGCAAACAG
rnacentral:rRNA from 1 species